GAGGAACCAGGGAGCUUGAAGAAAAUGUAUGGUUAUUUUUCUAGCUAAAACCACGUUGUUGGAAGGCAGAGGUGGGAGGAUCACCUGAGGUCAGGAGGUCAAGACCAGCCUGGCCAACACGGUGAAACCCCGUCUCUACAAAAAUAUUAGCCGGGUGUGGUGGCAGUCACCUUUAAUCCCAGCUACUUGGGGGGCUGAGUCAGGAGAAUUGCUUGAACCUGGGAGGCAGAGGUUGCAGUGAGCCGAGAUUGCGCCAUUGCCCUCCAGCCUCAGCAACAACAUGAGACUCCGUCUCAAAAAUAAAUAAAUUAAUUAAUUAAAUAAAACCAAGUUGAUGGCCUCACCAAGUUUAGUCAUAGAUACCCAAGGUCAGGGAGGGCCAUUACCCUGUGAAACUUUGGGGAUCUACGGCUGGACCACGUGGGGCCAUGAGCAGAAAAAGCCAGUAAGCCCUAAACAGGCUGGAUAUUGUAGCUGGACAUCCUGGAGCAGGAGUUGAGAGCCCAGGAGCAGUACUGGUGCCACCAGGAACAGGAGGAGGAGCAGCUACUGGAACAGCUGGGGCACCUGAGCCAGGAGCUCCACUCCACGGCAGAAAGUGGCGCUGAGCAGCAGCUGAAGGCUGAAGAGGAGGCCUGCCAGGCCCUUGAGUCCCGCUGCCUGCAGGAGAUGGAGAGAAGAGCCAGGGCUCUGAGCACACACAGCAGCCCAGAGCGGGGCCUGCUCUCUCAAGAUGAUUGCCUCAAGAACCCCUGUGUGUUUGGAGAAUUACCCUGGAGACAUAUUCUAUGGAACAGUCACCACUUCUCUCAGGGACCGGGCUGCUACCUGCCCCCUGUUGAUCCCAUUCCUGAAGCAGCUCACUGCAGCGCUAGUAGGAGCUCCAGGGCUGGAGGAUCAGAGGCCAGAAACAGAUAAAGCUGACAUCAUCUGGACUUCACCAUUCUUCUCCAUCCUGAAGAAAACAGACAUCUGGUCCCAAGCCCACAAGGAAGAAGCUGAAUUGCAAAAAUAAGUGUAUCACAAACCAGACCCAAAGAGCUCUCUGCAGGAUCUUCUAAAACCUCAGACACUGCAGAAGGAAGAGUUGAUAACUGUGCAACCCACUGACCUUUCUGCCAGGGAGUUUGUGGUUUACCAGUAUGGCCUCUCCAUCCUGCACCUCCUUAUCCCCCAGCUUCAUGCUCCAGAAAUCACCCUGAAGAUUUCUUCUCAUCUUCCUGCCAUGGAAGCCCAAGGCAGUGCCUUCCAAGGUGCCUUCUUCUACCAGUGCUGAAAACACACUGUUCAUUGGGAGAGAAUGUUUGGCCUCUGUGGGAAGCUUUGUUCUGCUGCUGAUCCGCUGCCUGGCCCACAUCACUGCUGGGGAACCCCACCAGGACUCCAGCCCUGCCUUUCUGGGGUCAUUUUACAAGGGCCUGGAGGCCUAUUUCAGGGAAGCAUUCCCUAUCACACUGAGAAUGGCAGCAGUUUCCAGGGACAGUAAACUUGACCAAAGCAUAAGUGCUAUCCUGCUGGAAGAGCAGCCCAUCUCUGACAGAGAAAGGGAUCUUCUGUCUAAACUCAUUGAAAUGAAGCAUGUAUCUCCCUUGGAGCCAGAAUCACUAGAAGAGUAUAUUCAUAAAAACAAAGAUCUUCUGCUCUUCACCAGUAUGGAACAUUUCCUAAAAAGCAUCCUCGCUGCAGAACAACAAAUCCUAAGAAAACCAAGAAAUCAAUUUGGGAGUGAAGAUAAGAUCUAGAAAGAAAAUGGUAAUCUCAUUUCAGUCUGCAUUAUUAAAAGGUCUUAAAUACAUCACUACAACAUCUGAUGAAGCUGAUAAGAAUUAUUGGAAAAUCUAUAAUAUUCAUGGUAAAACACAUAAAUGUGUAUCAUAGUUUUAAGUGUAUAUAUAAUAGGGGCUAAUAUUUGCCACAGAGGUUGAGGACCCCUGCUCACUGUGACUAAAAUUUUCAGUGUGACUAAAAGAUCAUUAGAUCACGUAUCUUAUUAAAAUAUGUAUUAAAGAUAUUGACUAAAACUUUCUGGGAAUGUAAAACUUGUAUAUGUCAUUAUUCAAUCAGGCUAAGGUUGUCUAUUACUGAAUCACAAAGUAGAUGGAUAUAUAUAUAUAAUAUUUGGUGAUCUAGAAUGUGUACUUAAAAUAUAGGCCAUGUCACACAAAAUUCACUUUGGAGGCCCUGGUUGAAACACCACAAAGAGAUAAGCAGUCAUCUGAAAGUGAAGUUUUGGAGUGCUGAUCAGGAGAUACAACACCAUCACAUGAAUUUAGGUUAAAAAAAAUCCAGAUACAAACUUCAACUCAAAAGCUGCUCAGAUUACAAAGCCAAUGCUUGAAAUUCAAACUGCUUCUCACAUGGAUAAUUCUGUAUCAUGCCCUGUAUUUAUCUGUUCUCAUGCUGCUAAUAAAGACAUGCUUCAGACUGGGUAAUUUAUAAA
rnacentral:lncRNA from 1 species